rnacentral:rRNA from 1 species
GACGAACGCUGGCGGCGUGCUUAACACAUGCAAGUCGAACGGAAAGGCCCUGCUUUUGUGGGGUGCUCGAGUGGCGAACGGGUGAGUAACACGCGAGUAACCUGCCCUUGACUUUGGGAUAACUUCAGGAAACUGGGGCUAAUACCGGAUAGGAGCUCCUGCUGCAUGGUGGGGGUUGGAAAGUUUCGGCGGUUGGGGAUGGACUCGCGGCUUAUCAGCUUGUUGGUGGGGUAGUGGCUUACCAAGGCUUUGACGGGUAGCCGGCCUGAGAGGGUGACCGGCCACAUUGGGACUGAGAUACGGCCCAGACUCCUACGGGAGGCAGCAGUGGGGAAUAUUGCACAAUGGGCGGAAGCCUGAUGCAGCAACGCCGCGUGCGGGAUGACGGCCUUCGUGUUGUAAACCGCUUUCGCCUGUGACGAAGCGUGAGUGACGGUAAUGGGUAAAGAAGCACCGGCUAACUACGUG